GGGGCUGACUGGUUUUGACAGCAAGAUGAGGGGAUAUGUAAGCACGUCGAGGGUUGAAGUUCACCUCGCAAAUCCGAAUUUCACAAUUGUAACUGGCGAAACAUCUUACGCUCUUGCAGCCUAAUCAUCCGAUAGGAGGUUAAGCUUAAUUCCGUACUAGGUACGUGAACAAGACGUUUCCGACACAGGUUUGUCUGACCCCUGUGUUAAUGGAGGCGUGGUUAAUGACAGAAUAGAAUGGUUCGCGCUUCGAUAACCAUUCGAAACUUAAGAAGAUAAGUCUUGAAUUGGCUGCCUUUGGCCUGUUUAAGAUCGAAAAUCAAUCAAUAGGCUAAGCGCGUAGAAAGCCUAUUCUUUCCUUGUUUGGACGUGGGUUCGAAUCCCACCAGCUCCACUA
rnacentral:tmRNA from 1 species